UACGGGGGGGGCAAGCGUUGUUCGGAAUUACUGGGCGUAAAGGGCUCGUAGGUGGCCAACUAAGUCAGACGUGAAAUCCCUCGGCUUAACCGGGGAACUGCGUCUGAUACUGGAUGGCUUGAGGUUGGGAGAGGGAUGCGGAAUUCCAGGUGUAGCGGUGAAAUGCGUAGAUAUCUGAAGGAACAUCAGUGGCGAAAGCGACUUCCUGGACCAAUACUGACGCUCAUGUGCGAAAGCGUGGGGAGCAAACAGG
rnacentral:rRNA from 1 species